rnacentral:rRNA from 1 species
AAAUUGAAGAGUUUGAUCAUGGCUCAGAUUGAACGCUGGCGGCAGGCCUAACACAUGCAAGUCGAGCGGAAACGAGUUAUCUGAACCUUCGGGGGACGAUAACGGCGUCGAGCGGCGGACGGGUGAGUAAUGCCUAGGAAAUUGCCCUGAUGUGGGGGAUAACCAUUGGAAACGAUGGCUAAUACCGCAUGAUGCCUACGGGCCAAAGAGGGGGACCUUCGGGCCUCUCGCGUCAGGAUAUGCCUAGGUGGGAUUAGCUAGUUGGUGAGGUAAGGGCUCACCAAGGCGACGAUCCCUAGCUGGUCUGAGAGGAUGAUCAGCCACACUGGAACUGAGACACGGUCCAGACUCCUACGGGAGGCAGCAGUGGGGAAUAUUGCACAAUGGGCGCAAGCCUGAUGCAGCCAUGCCGCGUGUGUGAAGAAGGCCUUCGGGUUGUAAAGCACUUUCAGUCGUGAGGAAGGUAGUGUAGUUAAUAGCUGCAU